GCCUUGGUUGCCUUAAGGUGGAUUUGAGAACAGGUUGUUCCUUGUGUGGCCAGGAUGGGACAGCGUCCAAUACCAAACAGGAACUGCUCCCUAACUCCUUGUUGGACGUUCUUGGAAAGUCACUUCCCCUCUUUGGGUCUCAGCUUUCAUCAGCUGUCAAAUGAAAGGGCAGCAGGACUAUGUCAUAACCAGGCAAUUUCAUCUGUGGAGCAGAUUAUCAUCAUUAAUAGUGUAUUAACAUAAAUGGAAUCAUACUCUAUAAUGAUCUGCAAUUUCCUUUUUUUCCAUUUGACCACAUGGCAAUAUGCCAUGUAGGUCUUUCCAUAUAAAUUCUUUCUUUUUCGUGGAGUCAUACUAUUCAACAAUCUGAAUGUUAACAUAAUUUAUUUAAACACUCACUUAUUAAUGUAAAUUUAAGUUACUUCCAGGGAUUUCCCCCCUCCAUUAUGAAUAAUGUUGCAAUAAAUAUCUUUGGGUUUAUGUGAGGAUAUUUUUUAUAUGGUAACAUCUUAAAAAAAUUCCUGGAUCAAAGGAUAUAUAGACAUUAAAAUUUUUGAUACUGCUAAUUUGCCCUAUACAUUUGCUAUACAUGCCCAAUAAUGGUGCAUAAGAGUGUUUGUGUCUGUUCACUCAUAAACUUGCCAACACCAUUUAAAAAACUUAAUUAAUUACUUAACUGAAAUAUACUUAAUUUACAAUAUUAUAACGAAUUUUUAUUAUUUCCUUCCUUCUGCUAACUUUGGAUUUAGUUUGCUAUAUUUCCUAUUUCCUUUGAUAUAUUGUUUCUUUUUAAAAAUAUGUUUUUAUAACUAUAAAUCUCUGUUUGGGCACUGCCUUGCUGCAUCCCAUAUGUCUUGAUAGGUUGUAUUUUCAUUUUAAUCCAUUUCUAAGUAUUUUCUAAUUUCCCUUGUGAUGUAUUCUUUGACCUACUGAUUGUUUAAUAGUGUGUUGUUCCAUUUCCACAUAUUUGUGAAUUUUCCAGUUUCACUUGUUAUUGAUUUUCAGUUUCAUUCCUUUGUCACCACAGAAGAUAUUUUGUAUGAUUUUAUUCUUUUUAAAUUAACUGAGACUUGGGGCUCAAUUUAUGGUGUAUCCUGGAGAAUGCUCCAUGUGCACUUCAGAAAAAUAUGUAUUCUGCUAUUGCCAGCGGAGCAUUCUGUAUAUAUUAUCUGUUCUAGUUGGUUUAUAGUGUUUUGCAAGUUCUCUAUUAUUGAUCUUCUGUUUAUGAGUUGUUGUUCUACCCAUUAUGGACAGAGGAGUAUUGAAGUACAGAACUAUUAUUGUAGAACUAUUUCUCCCUUCUGUUUUGCCUGUUUUAGCUUCAUAUAUUUUGUGAUGGUCUUGUUAGUUGUGUGUAUGUUUAUAAUUAUAGCUCCUUGGUGAAUUGACCUUUUAAUCAAUAUGUAAUGUCCUUCUUUGUACCUUGAAACACAUUUUGAAUUAAAGUCUGUUUAGUAUGAUAUUUGUAUAACUACCCCAGUUCUGUUUUGGUUACUAUUUGCGUGGAGUAUUCUUUCCAUAAUUUCACUUUCAACCUACCAGUUUCUUUUGAUUAAAAUGAGUCUCUUGUAGGCAGCAUAUAGUUUGAUCAUAAUUUUUUCAUCCAUUCUGGCAAUCUAUGCCUUUUGAUUGCAGAGUUUACUCUAUUUACAUUUAAACUUGUUACUGAUGAGGAAGAAUUUGCUUCAGCCAUUUUGCUAUUUUUUUCUAUAUGUCUAUAGCUUUUCCUUCCUCAUUACCUCCAUUACUGCCUUCAUUUGUGUUUAAUUGAUUUUUUGUUGUUGUGUUCCAUUUUGUUUCCCUUCUCAUUUUCCUUUUUGUAUAUUUUUGAGUUAUUUUCUUCGUGGUUAUCCUGGGGAUUAUAAGUAACAUAUUGAAUUCAUAACAUUUUAGUUUGAAUUAAUACUAACAGCUUCAGUAGCAUGCAAAACUCUGCUCUUAUACUCCUAGACACCUCUGUCCUUUCCCCUUUAUGAUGUUAUUGUCAUAACUUACAUCUUUAUACAAUGUGUAUCCAC